GGUUGCGAUCAUACCAGCACUAAUGCACCGGAUCCCAUCAGAACUUCGUAGUUAAGCGUGCUUGGGCGAGAGUAGUACUAGGAUGGGUGACCCCCUGGGAAGUCCUCGUGUUGCAACCC
rnacentral:rRNA from 1 species